UACGUAGGGGGCAAGCGUUGUCCGGAAUCAUUGGGCGUAAAGCGCGUGUAGGCGGUUCGGUAAGUCGGCUGUGAAAGUCCAGGGCUCAACCCUGGGAUGCCGGUCGAUACUGCCGGACUAGAGUUCGGAAGAGGCGAGUGGAAUUCCCCGGUGUAGCGGUGAAAUGCGCAGAUAUCAGGAGGAACACCAACGGCGAAGGCAGCUCUCUGGUACGUGACUGACGCUGAGACGCGAAAGCGUGGGUAGCAAACAGG
rnacentral:rRNA from 1 species